rnacentral:rRNA from 1 species
GACGAACGCUGGCGGCGUGCUUAACACAUGCAAGUCGAACGGGCCUUGUCCCCUUUUUUUUUGGGGGUGGGGUUAGUGGCGAACGGGUGAGUAACACGUGAGUAACCUGCCCCUCACUUCUGGAUAACCGCUUGAAAGGGUGGCUAAUACGGGGUGUUCUGGCCUGCUCGCAUGGGUGGGUUUGGAAAGAUUCGACCGGUUUGGUUGUUUUGGUGGGGGAUGGGCUCGCGGCCUAUCAGCUUGUUGGUGGGGUGAUGGCCUGCCAAGGCUUUGACGGGUAGCCGGCCUGAGAGGGUGGGCGGUCACACUGGGACUGAGGCACGGCCCAGACUCCUACGGGAGGCAGCAGUGGGGAAUAUUGCACAAUGGGCGCAAGCCUGAUGCAGCGACGCCGCGUGAGGGAUGGAGGCCUUCGGGUUGUGAACCUCUUUCGCCAGUGAAGAAGGUCCUGCUCUUUGUGGUGGGGUUGACGGUAGCUGGGUUAAUGAAGCGCCGGCUAACUACGUG